UACGGAGGAUGCGAGCGUUGUCCGGAUUUAUUGGGUUUAAAGGGUGUGUAGGCGGUCCGUUAAGUCAGCGGUAAAAUUGCGGGGCUCAACCCCGUCGAGCCGUUGAAACUGGCAGACUUGAGUUGGCGAGAAGUACGCGGAAUGCGCGGUGUAGCGGUGAAAUGCAUAGAUAUCGCGCAGAACUCCGAUUGCGAAGGCAGCGUACCGGCGCCACACUGACGCUGAGGCACGAAAGCGUGGGGAUCGAACAGG
rnacentral:rRNA from 1 species